GGAGGUAUCACAUAGAGGCCUAUUGUACACGCUUGGAAAGCGUGCGGGAGUAAUCCCACGAGAGUUCGAAUCUCUCUACCUCCGCCA
rnacentral:tRNA from 2 species